rnacentral:rRNA from 1 species
UACGUAGGGUGCGAGCGUUAAUCGGAAUUACUGGGCGUAAAGCGUGCGCAGGCGGUUUUGUAAGCCAGAUGUGAAAUCCCCGGGCUCAACCUGGGAAUGGCAUUUGGGACUGCAAGGCUUGAGUGCGGCAGAGGAGACUGGAAUUCCUGGUGUAGCAGUGAAAUGCGUAGAUAUCAGGAGGAAUACCGAUGGCGAAGGCAGGUCUCUGGGCUGACACGUGACGCUCGAUGCACG